rnacentral:rRNA from 1 species
GAUGAACGCUGGCGGCGUGCCUAAUACAUGCAAGUCGAGCGAACGGACGAGAAGCUUGCUUUUCUGAUGUUAGCGGCGGACGGGUGAGUAACACGUGGAUAACCUACCUAUAAGACUGGGAUAACUUCGGGAAACCGGAGCUAAUACCGGAUAAUAUUUUGAACCGCAUGGUUCAAAAGUGAAAGACGGUCUUGCUGUCACUUAUAGAUGGAUCCGCGCUGCAUUAGCUAGUUGGUAAGGUAACGGCUUACCAAGGCAACGAUGCAUAGCCGACCUGAGAGAGUGAUCGGCCACACUGGAACUGAGACACGGUCCAGACUCCUACGAGAAGCAGCAGUAGGGAAUCUUCCGCAAUGGGCGAAAGCCUGACGGAGCAACGCCGCGUGAGUGAUGAAGGUCUUCGGAUCGUAAAACUCUGUUAUUAGGGAAGAACAUAUGUGUAAGUAACUGUGCACAUCUUGACGGUACCUAAUCAGAAAGCCACGGCUAACUACGUG